UGGGGAAUAUUGCACAAUGGGCGCAAGCCUGAUGCAGCCAUGCCGCGUGUGUGAAGAAGGCCUUCGGGUUGUAAAGCACUUUCAGCGAGGAGGAAGGUGGUGAGCUUAAUACGCUCAUCAAUUGACGUUACUCGCAGAAGAAGCACCGGCUAACUCCGUGCCAGCAGCCGCGGUAAUACGGAGGGUGCAAGCGUUAAUCGGAAUUACUGGGCGUAAAGCGCACGCAGGCGGUUUGUUAAGUCAGAUGUGAAAUCCCCGGGCUCAACCUGGGAACUGCAUUUGAAACUGGCAAGCUAGAGUCUCGUAGAGGGGGGUAGAAUUCCAGGUGUAGCGGUGAAAUGCGUAGAGAUCUGGAGGAAUACCGGUGGCGAAGGCGGCCCCCUGGACGAAGACUGACGCUCAGGUGCGAAAGCGUGGGGAGCAAAACAGGAUUAGAUACCCUGGUAGUCCAGCGCUGUAAAACGAUGUCGAUUUUGGAGGUUGUGCCCUUGAGGCGUGGCUUCCGGAGCUAACGCGUUAAAUCGACCGCCUGGGGAGUACGGCCGCAAGGUUAAAACUCAAAGGAAUUG
rnacentral:rRNA from 1 species